UUAUAUACAUGCCAUUGCUUUCCAAAAUCAAUAUCUAAACGUUCGGCUUUAAAAUCUCUCCUACCACCAUUGUGUUACCUAGGCUUGUUUGUCUAUUGAUACCGUAUUAUCUCUUACUUGUUUUUCGCACGUUGACAGUGAGAGUCGUACAACGUCUACCAUGCGCGGUUGUCCGGCAGUUUUAGAGAUGAGUCUCGUGGUGUUUUGUGAUUGGCGACUGAACUAACCAUAAUGAAGAACACAAAUGUUCAUUUGUUUGCCACACCUUGUUUUGUGACUCCUCUCGGAUAUGACUGUUGACAAGUAAUCGCGUCCUUUGAAUUUAUACGACGAUGUAUACAAACUAAUUUUCAUGUAUAUUACAGCUUUGGCUGAAGAUGAUCACAAUAAAAUUCGAAAAAGGGAUCGAAACGUCCCUAGCAAUUAUUUGGUUUUAAUCUUUAUUUAAACUACCACCGCCACCAGUGGACUACAGGCUUCAAGGUCUUCAAUUUAUUUUUUUAAGAGAAUGGCAGAGAUAUUCCAUAUCAAAUUACAAAAUAAC